GGGCCUGUAGCUCAGCUGGGAGAGCGUUCGGUUCGCAUCCGAGAGGUCAAGGGUUCAAAUCCCUCCAGGUCCACCA
rnacentral:tRNA from 2 species